GUGGACAGCAUCGGGAGAGGGGCACAGACACAGGUCUGGGAGACCAGGCCGAGGGGUUCGCCUCUGGCAGCAGGAACCAGAGCUUCCUCCUGUGCAAGAGGAUGGAUGCGGUUAGACAGUUCCCCAAACCCCUGACUCUUCAAAGACACAGAGACUGCCAGAGGCCAUAGAGAUUGGAAGACCCCUUUGCCUGGUUCUGUGUCUCGCUGUCACCUCCCCAAGGACACUUGGGAGAUGCCCACGGACUGAGAUAAGGGAGGACGCAGGGAUGGGGGAGGGUGGAAACCUCCAACUGCUCCGUUGUCUUUCUCAGCUGAUAGGAGGCCGCUCGGGGCUCUGAGUUGGUCUUUUUCCCUCUGUAGAAGGUCACUGGGGGCUUCCUGCUGCUGGCCACCGAGCUGUCACCUGCUCCUCUUCACGGGGCUAGAAAGACAGACACAGAAGUCCAAAGUCCUGGAACAUCAAACUCAACCAUCUGUAAUGAGCUACUUGGACAGUUUUUCUGGAUAUGUGCAGAAGCCCUUGAAAAGUUAAAAGUCUAUGAAAAUAGAAAAUGCUAUUUUUGUCUGUUAUUUGCAUGCAAACACAUAUGUCAUGCAAAAUUGUACACAUAUAAAGACAAUUUAAAGACCUCAA